rnacentral:rRNA from 1 species
AUUCCAGCUCUGUAAGCGUAUACCAAAGUUGUUGCAGUUAAAACGCUCGUAGUCGGACGUUGGCGGGCGCCUCGAGUCGGCCUCACGGUCGAUCUUGUUGGCGACCGCCUUUGUGGAGGGGGGCUUAGGUCGGUGCUUUAUUGUCAUCCCUUUGUCGCUGCCACCGUUUACUGUGAAAAAAUUAGAGUGUUCAAAGCGGGCGUUUGCCAUGAAUACAUUAGCAUGGAAUAAUAGAAUAGGACCUGGUCCUGUUUUGUUGGUUUGUGAGUAUCAGGUAAUGAUUAAGAGGGACGGUUGGGGGCAUUUGUAUUCCGGCGUCAGAGGUGAAAUUCUUGGAUUGCCGGAAGACAAACAGCUGCGAAAGCGUCUGCCAAGGACGUUUUCAU